GGCCUGGGACUUGGACUCAACCU
rnacentral:miRNA from 1 species